GGCACGCCUAAUACAUGCAAGUCGAACGAAGUAGCAAUACUUAGUGGCAGACGGGUGAGUAACAUGUGGGUAUCUUCCCUUUGGUGAGGAAUAACACGAGGAAACUUGUGCUAAUACCUCAUAAGUCUUUACAGAGAAAGCUUUAUGCGCCAUUGGAUGAGCCCGCACUUGAUUAGUUUGUUGGUGGGGUAAUGGCCUACCAAGACAAUGAUCAAUAGCUGAUUUGAGAGGAUGAUCAGCCACAUUGGGACUGAGACACGGCCCAAACUCCUACGGGAGGCAGCAGUAGGGAAUCUUGCACAAUGGAGGAAACUCUGAUGCAGCGAUGCCGCGUGAGUGAAGAAGGCCUUUGGGUUGUAAAGCUCUUUCGUCGGGGAAGAAAAUGACUGUACCCGAAUAAGAAGGUCCGGCUAACUUCGUGCCAGCAGCCGCGGUAAUACGAAGGGACCUAGCGUAGUUCGGAAUUACUGGGCUUAAAGAGUUCGUAGGUGGUUAAAAAAGUUGGUGGUGAAAUCCCAGAGCUUAACUCUGGAACUGCCAUC
rnacentral:rRNA from 1 species